rnacentral:rRNA from 1 species
CGAAUGCUGACAUAAGUAACGAUAAAGCGGGUGAAAAGCCCGCUCGCCGGAAGACCAAGGGUUCCUGUCCAACGUUAAUCGGGGCAGGGUGAGUCGACCCCUAAGGCGAGGCCGAAAGGCGUAGUCGAUGGGAAACGGGUUAAUAUUCCCGUACUUGGUGUUACUGCGAAGGGGGGACGGAGAAGGCUAUGUUGGCCGGGCGACGGUUGUCCCGGUUUAAGCGUGUAGGUGUGUGUUCCAGGUAAAUCCGGUUCACUUUAACACUGAGGCGUGACGACGAGGCACUACGGUGCUGAAGCAACAAAUGCCCUGCUUCCAGGAAAAGCCUCUAAGCAUCAGGUAACACGAAAUCGUACCCCAAACCGACACAGGUGGUCAGGUAGAGAAUACCAAGGCGCUUGAGAGAACUCGGGUGAAGGAACUAGGCAAAAUGGUGCCGUAACUUCGGGAGAAGGCACGCUGACACGUAGGUGAAGUGAUUUACUCAUGGAGCUGAAGUCAGUCGAAGAUACCAGCUGGCUGCAACUGUUUAUUAAAAACACAGCACUGUGCAAACACGAAAGUGGACGUAUACGGUGUGACGCCUGCCCGGUGCCGGAA